AACGAACGCUGGCGGCAUGCCUAACACAUGCAAGUCGAACGAACCCUUCGGGUCCUGUCGCGCAUGGGUUUGUCACGGGUCGGGAGCGUCCCUUAUGUUUGGCAUAACUCUCCGACAGGGGUGCUAACACGGGACAAUGUCUUCUGCCCAAUGAUUUAUUGCGCUUGGUUGGGCGCGCGUUGGAUUCGCUCGUUAGUAGGCUUAAAGACUACCCCGGCGAGCAUGCAUAGCUGGUUUGAGAGGAUGAUUAGCCACACUAAGACUCAGACACGGCCUAGAAUCCUACGCGAGGCAGCAGAGGGGAAUAUUGGAAAAUGGGCGAAGGCCUGAUGCAGCUAUGCCGGGUGAGUGAUGAAGGCAUUAGGGAUGUAAAGCUCUUUUAACCGGGAUGAUAAUGACGGUACCUGAAGAAUAAGCUCCGGCUAACUACGUG
rnacentral:rRNA from 1 species